rnacentral:lncRNA from 1 species
AGAUAGGAGGUCUGGCCUAGUUCUGAUUUCGUGGGCACUCUUUCGCGUAAUGUUGGGCACUCCACAUAUGCAGCAAGUAUUGUUAAAGCGAUAGCAGGGUCGGUCCCCAUGAUCCUUAGUAAAAAUCCCGAUCAGCAAGAGGGUUGUGAGUAGUUCACCACCCAGACUAAUCACAGAUACGGAAAACUGAAGAUUGAUAAAAAUUAGAAAAAUAACUAAUGGAGCCUCUACUUU